GACAGAGGGUGCAAACGUUGUUCGGAAUUACUGGGCGUAAAGCGCAUGUAGGCGGCUCGGAAAGUCGGAUGUGAAAGCCCAGGGCUCAACCCUGGAAGUGCACUCGAAACUCCCGAGCUGGAGUCCCGGAGAGGAAGGCGGAAUUCUCGGUGUAGAGGUGAAAUUCGUAGAUAUCGAGAGGAACACCGGUGGCGAAGGCGGCCUUCUGGACAGCGACUGACGCUGAGACGCGAAAGCGUGGGGAGCAAACAGG
rnacentral:rRNA from 1 species